UACGGGGGGGGCAAGCGUUGUUCGGAAUUACUGGGCGUAAAGGGCUCGUAGGCGGCCAACUAAGUCCGACGUGAAAUCCCCAGGCUUAACCUGGGAACUGCGUCGGAUACUGGAUGGCUUGAAUUCGGGAGAGGGAUGCAGAAUUCCAGGUGUAGCGGUGAAAUGCGUAGAUAUCGAGAGGAACACCUGCGGCGAAGGCGGGUUGCUGGGCCGACACUGACGCUGAUGCGCGAAAGCCAGGGGAGCGAACGGG
rnacentral:rRNA from 1 species